GACAGAGGUGCCGAGCGUUAGGCGGAAUCACUGGGCUUAAAGCGUGUGUAGGCGGGCCGUUAAGUGCCCCGUGAAAUCCCCCGGCUCAACCGGGGAACGGCGGGGCAUACUGGCGGCCUUGAGGCACCCAGGGGCGAGCGGAACAGGCGGUGGAGCGGUGAAAUGCGUAGAUAUCGCCUGGAACGCCGACGGUGAAAACAGCUCGCUGGGGGUGUGCGGGGCGAAAGCCCCUUCUGACGCUGAGACACGAAAGCCAGGGGAGCGAACGGG
rnacentral:rRNA from 1 species